rnacentral:sRNA from 1 species
GACAAAUUCACACCCAAGAGGGACAACCCUGAGCAGUUCCUGGAGGCUGCGGCCACCUCCCUGCAGGCUCUGAGCCCCCAGAAGCAGAGCUUUGUUUUGGAGGUUCUGUCUGGGUGCCUCGAGUACCGGAAGCUGCUGACCGUCGUGGUGGAUGCCUUCUACGUGGAGGAUGGCCGACUCUGCCUGCGGGUUGACCACAGCCGCUUCGAGGUGAUCUGCUACCUAGCCACAUUCCUGCUGGAGGAACUCGGCUUCCAGCUGUUCUGUAACAUCAUCAAGUCCCAGCCCGUGGAUAAGAUGUGCAAGUUCCUCAGGUUCUUCUUCAACCCCCUGCACCUGUGCUCAUGGAUCAAGGACGAGUGGAGCCUCAUCUACGAGCCGGCCCACGUGAAGGAGAACUGGAUCGACCCCCUGAUGAGGUCCCCCAGAGCACCUACCAGCCACCCAAGGAGCAGCAGCAGCUGGAGACAGUCAAGAGGUACAACCGCCGAAAGGCCGAGGAGCUGCUGCUGAGGGCAAACAUCGAGGAACUGCGCUGCGCCAUGCCCAGGUCCUGCAGGGAGUCAGCGCAGGUACCGCCCAGCUCUCUCAAGACCCAUCAUUGAGGUGCCAUCUUCUCAAGCCAUCAGAAAGUUCCUCCCAACGCCAUCGCAGUGACCACUUAUGUAGCCUUUUCCCACUGAGGGCCGGGGAGGGGCGGAUUCCCAGUAGCACUGGGAAAGUGCGCCUUGAGCCCACUGCGGUGUGGCCCCUAAGCAGGCGGGUGUAGACGCGCACCCACAUCCCCCAGGAGGAAGCUCACGGGAUAGCACCUGCAGGUGCUGCCUCUGGGUGUCUCCAGAUGUUCCGUGACAAGCAUUUCAUGCCUCUGUAAGGAAAAAACAAACCCAGGUAUGUUUGCCAAUAAAGAAAAAGCAAAGUAACGAG